rnacentral:rRNA from 1 species
AUUGAACGCUGGCGGCAUGCUUUACACAUGCAAGUCGAACGGUAACAGGCCUUCGGGCGCUGACGAGUGGCGAACGGGUGAGUAAUGCAUCGGAACGUGCCCAGUCGUGGGGGAUAACGCAGCGAAAGCUGUGCUAAUACCGCAUACGAUCUGCGGAUGAAAGCGGGGGACCUUCGGGCCUCGCGCGAUUGGAGCGGCCGAUGUCAGAUUAGGUAGUUGGUGGGGUAAAGGCUCACCAAGCCAACGAUCUGUAGCUGGUCUGAGAGGACGACCAGCCACACGGGGACUGAGACACGGCCCAGACUCCUACGGGAGGCAGCAGUGGGGAAUUUUGGACAAUGGGCGCAAGCCUGAUCCAGCAAUGCCGCGUGCAGGAAGAAGGCCUUCGGGUUGUAAACUGCUUUUGUACGGAGCGAAAAGGCUCCCUCUAAUACAGGGGGCUCAUGACGGUACCGUAAGAAUAAGCACCGGCUAACUACGUGCCAGCCGCCGCGGUAAGAC